AGAGUUUGAUCCUGGCUCAGGAUGAACGCUGGCGGCGUGCCUAAUACAUGCAAGUCGAACGCUUCACUUCGGUGAAGAGUGGCGAACGGGUGAGUAAUACAUAAGUAACCUGGCAUCUACAGGGGGAUAACUGAUGGAAACGUCAGCUAAGACCGCAUAGGUGUAGAGAUCGCAUGAACUCUAUAUGAAAAGUGCUACGGGACUGGUAGAUGAUGGACUUAUGGCGCAUUAGCUUGUUGGUAGGGUAACGGCCUACCAAGGCGACGAUGCGUAGCCGACCUGAGAGGGUGACCGGCCACACUGGGACUGAGACACGGCCCAGACUCCUACGGGAGGCAGCAGUAGGGAAUUUUCGGCAAUGGGGGAAACCCUGACCGAGCAACGCCGCGUGAAGGAAGAAGUAAUUCGUUAUGUAAACUUCUGUCAUAGAGGAAGAACGGUGGAUAUAGGGAAUGAUAUCCAAGUGACGGUACUCUAUAAGAAAGCCACGGCUAACUACGUGCCAGCAGCCGCGGUAAUACGUAGGUGGCGAGCGUUAUCCGGAAUUAUUGGGCGUAAAGAGGGAGCAGGCGGCACUAAGGGUCUGUGGUGAAAGAUCGAAGCUUAACUUCGGUAAGCCAUGGAAACCGUAGAGCUAGAGUGUGUGAGAGGAUCGUGGAAUUCCAUGUGUAGCGGUGAAAUGCGUAGAUAUAUGGAGGAACACCAGUGGCGAAGGCGACGAUCUGGCGCAUAACUGACGCUCAGUCCCGAAAGCGUGGGGAGCAAAUAGGAUUAGAUACCCUAGUAGUCCACGCCGUAAACGAUGAGUACUAAGUGUUGGGUGUCAAAGCUCAGUGCUGCAGUUAACGCAAUAAGUACUCCGCCUGAGUAGUACGUUCGCAAGAAUGAAACUCAAAGGAAUUGACGGGGGCCCGCACAAGCGGUGGAGCAUGUGGUUUAA
rnacentral:rRNA from 1 species